UUGGCGCGUUACUGUACAGCUAAGCAUCAACCAAUCAAGACGCAAAGAUAGUAAAACUCGAACAACCAAUGAGAUUUAGCCUCACGCCCUCUUUGUGUGUGUGUAUAUAUAUGUAUAUUAUAUACUUCUCUUCCCCAAACAAACCCUACCUCUCCCGCUCUCCGCUGUUACAAUCCUUGUGAGCUUCCUAACUUUUCCUCUCGAUCUUUCGCACACACAUAAAAAGGGAAUAGGCCCUAGAGUUAGAUCUCAUGCCUGUGAUAUUCUUCUUUUUCUGGGUUCAAUCUUGAUCGAUCUGUGCUCUCUCUCUUAAUCCUAAGCAUUUCUUGGUUCUGAUCAUUUUCCUUCAUCUAAUACCAUAUUUUAUCUACUAAUCUUGUGUUUUUCUUUUUAAAAAGUGGAAUACCAGACUGGGUUUUUCCUCCUGAGUAUAUCUGUGGGAAUCUGAUAUGGGUUCCAUACUUGGUCUUUCUUUUGUCGGGAUCGAUCCUAUCUUACAAACCUGAUGACCUGCAACAUCAAAAUCUGUGAUUUCUGAACAGAAUAUAUAUUUUAAUUUUUCUCAAAUUAUUAUUCUCUCUGCGACAAUUUUUGAGAGAAUAAAAUGGGGUACCCUAAAAAAACAGGGGGUCUUUUUUUGUUUUGUUUUGUGUAGUUCAACCUGUUGGAUUCUUCUUGGGGUGCCCCUCUCGCGUAAUCACUUUACGUUUUAGCCACUGGUAGAAGGCCACGUAAGCUGAUUGCUCGUGGACAUGAUGCUAUUUAAUUUCUGUACAUGAACCUAAAGUUCUUACUCUACAUUUCUUUCAAUUUUCUCAUCUUUCUUAUUUCUCUCGAAAUAUACUGAUCGGUCUCACAUAGAUCAAGUACUUUCAUGGUGCUAAAGACGACAGUCGUUGUUUGCGGGUGUAGCAUCAUCAAGAUUCACACAUGCAAUUGAUGCAACUCAAAACUCCCUCUUUCGUCCGAAGUUGUUUGAAAGUACUGAGAAUCUUGAUGAUGCUGCAUCGGCAAUAAACCACUAUACAGAAGAGGGUUAGAUGAUUUAGACAAAAAGAGGUGCGCUUUUUCUCUUUCUAUUUUUAGCAAAUUUUUAUUGAUGCAUAGCCUGCCAUUGUUAGAAUACUGUUUGUAUGUAUGUUCUAUGCCACCUCAAGAGCCGUAGGAUAGGAUCUUAUGUAGUACUGUUGAACUGAGGAAUUAGCUUUGCUGCUUAGCACUUGUACUUCUGGCAGAUCCGUGAUUGUUCUUGUGUGAGAAACAUUUCUUUGGAUUACAAGAGUAUGUAUAUCUGAUCAGUUUAAUCCAGCAAAAGAGGUUUUCAUCGAUGAUGCUCCAAAUGAAGGCUUCAAAGCAUGCAUUAAAACGCUAUAAGAAGGUUCUAUUCAGAAGCCCCCACAUGUUCCUAUAUCAGAUGGUUCCUUCAAAGGGUUGUUUGCCUAGCCUUCUGAAACCUUUCUGGAAAUCAGAUGAGGAUCCAACUAAUUGCAGAAAACUUCGGUUUCGCUUACAAGAACAAAAAUACAAGCCUAGGGUAUAAUAUCUAAGAGAUCAUGUCAUGUUGAAUGGCUGACUCGAUCAUUAAAUAUCGAGCACGUAUAAAACAGGCAGUUUCAUGAUUUUCUCCUUAUUUAUGCUGGUUAAUAAUUAUUUGUGAGGUAUAAUAUCCAUAUUCUGCAUUUAAUUAGUUGAGUUCUAUUGGGAACACUUCCUUGUUGUAAUGUUUCUUGCUUCUUUCCAUCAUUAUGAGUUAUAGUACAAUUUGUUGAAGAAAGUAUUUGCUAAGAAUUUCAUGUUUCUUUC